GCCUUGGGUUUACCCAAAGAAGUGCAUCGGAAACUGUCAGACUGAGUGCAGAAGAGGACAGUGGAACUCCAUGUGUAGCGGUGGAAUGCGUAGAUAUAUGGAAGAACACCAGUGGCGAAGGCGGCUGUCUGGUCUGCAACUGACGCUGAGGCUCGAAAGCAUGGGUAGCGAACAGGAUUAGAUACCCUGGUAGUCCAUGCCGUAAACGAUGAGUGCUAGGUGUUGGAGGGUUUCCGCCCUUCAGUGCCGCAGCUAACGCAUUAAGCACUCCGCCUGGGGAGUACGACCGCAAGGUUGAAACUCAAAGGAAUUGACGGGGGCCCGCACAAGCGGUGGAGCAUGUGGUUUAAUUCGAAGCUACGCGAAGAACCUUACCAGGUCUUGACAUCUUGCGCCAACCCUAGAGAUAGGGCGUUUCCUUCGGGAACGCAAUGACAGGUGGUGCAUGGUCGUCGUCAGCUCGUGUCGUGAGAUGUUGGGUUAAGUCCCGCAACGAGCGCAACCCUUGUUACUAGUUGCCAGCAUUCAGUUGGGCACUCUAGUGAGACUGCCGGUGACAAACCGGAGGAAGGUGGGGACGACGUCAGAUCAUCAUGCCCCUUAUGACCUGGGCUACACACGUGCUACAAUGGACGGUACAACGAGUCGCGAACUCGCGAGGGCAAGCUAAUCUCUUAAAACCGUUCUCAGUUCGGACUGCAGGCUGCAACUCGCCUGCACGAAGUCGGAAUCGCUAGUAAUCGCGGAUCAGCAUGCCGCGGUGAAUACGUUCCCGGGCCUUGUACACACCGCCCGUCACACCAUGAGAGUUUGCAACACCCAAAGUCGGUGGGGUAACCCUUCGGGGAGCUAGCCGCCUAAGGUGGGGCAGAUGAUUAGGGUGAAGUCGUAACAAGGUAACCGUA
rnacentral:rRNA from 1 species